AGAUUGAACGCUGGCGGCAUGCCUAACACAUGCAAGUCGAGCGGCAGCGCGGGGGCGACCCUGGCGGCGAGCGGCGGACGGGUGAGUAAUGCGUAGGAAUCUACCCACGAGUGGGGGAUAGCCCGGAGAAAUCCGGAUUAAUACCGCAUAUGCCCUACGGGGUAAAGCGGGGGAUCGUAAGACCUCGCGCUGGUGGAUGAGCCUACGUCCGAUUAGUUAGUUGGUGGGGUAAAGGCCUACCAAGGCUACGAUCGGUAGCUGGUCUGAGAGGACGACCAGCCACACUGGGACUGAGACACGGCCCAGACUCCUACGGGAGGCAGCGAUCGAGCUA
rnacentral:rRNA from 1 species